rnacentral:rRNA from 1 species
GGGGAAUCUUGCGCAAUGGGCGAAAGCCUGACGCAGCCAUGCCGCGUGAAUGAUGAAGGUCUUAGGAUUGUAAAAUUCUUUCACCGGGGACGAUAAUGACGGUACCCGGAGAAGAAGCCCCGGCUAACUUCGUGCCAGCAGCCGCGGUAAUACGAAGGGGGCUAGCGUUGCUCGGAAUUACUGGGCGUAAAGGGAGCGUAGGCGGAUAGUUUAGUCAGAGGUGAAAGCCCAGGGCUCAACCUUGGAAUUGCCUUUGAUACUGGCUAUCUUGAGUUUGGGAGAGGUGAGUGGAACUCCGAGUGUAGAGGUGAAAUUCGUAGAUAUUCGGAAGAACACCAGUGGCGAAGGCGACUCACUGGCCCAAUACUGACGCUGAGGCUCGAAAGCGUGGGGAGCAAAC